rnacentral:rRNA from 1 species
UGGGGAAUAUUGCACAAUGGAGGGAACUCUGAUGCAGCGACGCCGCGUGAGUGAUGAAGGAAUUCGUUUCGUAAAACUCUGUUCUAUGGGAAGAAAAGGACUGUACCAUAGGAGAAAGCUCCGGCUAAAUACGUGCCAGCAGCCGCGGUAAUACGUAUGGAGCGAGCGUUGUCCGGAAUUAUUGGGCGUAAAGGGUGCGCAUGCGGCUUUACAAGUUGGAUGUGAAAUAUUGUGGCUCAACCACAAACGUGCAUCCAAAACUGCAAAGCUUGAGUUAAGGAGAGGUAAGUGGAAUUCCUGGUGUAGCGGUGGAAUGCGUAGAUAUCAGGAGGAAUACCGGUGGCGAAGGCGACUUACUGGACAUAAACUGACGCUCAGGCACGAAAGCGUGGGGAGCAAACAGG